rnacentral:rRNA from 1 species
GUGUCGAUUAAGGGCGUAGGGAGGAUGCCUUGACACAAAGUAGCGAUGAAGGACGCCGCGUAGCAGCGAUAUGCCUCGGGUAGGUGCGUAGCAACCUGUGAUCCGGGGAUUUCCGAAUGGGGAAACCUAUUAAGGUAAAACCUUAAUUUCACCAUACAUAAGUGAUGGUGUAAGCACACCCGCUGAAGUAAAACAUUUCAGUAAGCGGAGGAGAGUAGAACGAACGUUAUUCCCUUAGUAGCGGCGAGCGAAAAGGGAUCAGCCCAAACUUCUUAAAUAGUAGUUUCUAUUACUUAAGGAGGGUAGUAAGAUAAAAACAUUUUUGACUCUUUUUAGCUAAAGAGUUGAGAGAGGAGUUACAAAUUCAUUUGUUAGCCGAAUGGGCUGGAAAGCCCAAUCGUAGAAGGUGAUAAUCCUGUAGGCGAAAAUAAAUGAACUCUUCGUUUUUAAUCUUGAGUACUUCGAUGAACGAAAGCAUCGGAGGAAUCAUCCCGGACUAUCGGGAAAGGCUAAAUAUACUUUGUGAUCGAUAGUGAACAAGUACCGUGAGGGAAAGGUGAAAAGUAGUCCGGCGAGGACAGUGAAAUAGACCUGAAACCCUAUGCCUACAAGGACUCGAGGCCCGCAAGGGUGACGAGGUGCCUAUUGAAGAAUGAACCAACGAGUUUAUGUAUGUUGCGAGUCUAAGUUCCUUAUUGGAAUGGAGGCAAAGCGAAAGCGAGUGUUAACAGCGCGUCUAGCAGCAUGCGUAAGACCCGAAGCCAAGCGAGCUUGCCUUGGGCAGGAUGAACUCUGGAGAAAUCCAGAGGGAGGUCCGAACCGGUGGGUGGUGCAAAACCCUCGGAUGACUUGAGGUAAGAAGUGAAAAGCUAAUCGAGCUUGGUAAUAGCUGGUUCUCUCCGAAACAGUUUUAGGACUGGCGCUUAAUGUUCCUUAUUGGGGGUAGAGCACUGGAUGGGCUUGACAGGUCGCAAGGCCGCAAGCCCAAUCAAACUCCGAAUACCAGUAAGCUAAAGUUAAGUAGUUAGACUGCGGGGGCUAAGCUCCGUGGUCGCGAGGGAAAAAGCCCAGAUCGUCGUCUAAGGUCCCUAAAUUCAUGCUGAGUGUAAAAGGUAGUCGUUUGCCUUCGACAGAUAGGAGGUUGGCUUAGAGGUAGCCAUCCUUUAAAGAGUGUGUAACAACUCACUAUUCAAUGGCCGGCGGCGCCGAAAAUGUACCGGGGCUAAGCAUGAUACCGAAGACACGAAUGAGUACGUAAUUCGUUAUGUACUCGUGGUAGGAGAGCAUUUCCAGGGCGGUGAAGGUCGACCCGUGAGGGCGACUGGAGCGCUGGGAAGAGAGAAUGUUGGUAUGAGUAGCCCACUAAAUUGGUGAGAAACCGAUUCCCCGAAAAUCCAAGGUUUCCGUGACAAUGGCAAUCAGUCACGGGUUAGGCGGCCCUAAGGCAAUGGCGAAAGCCGCAGCUGAUGGACAGCAGGUUAAUAUUCCUGCUCUGCCGUUUUUUGUGAUGGAGUGACGAAGGAAAUAUAGUCUAGCGCCUUAAUGGUUUGGCGUUAUUAGCUUCAGAGUUCUCUGACCGGCAAAUCCGUUAGAGUGUCUUUAAUGACGACCUCAUAGCAGAUUGAAGAUCUGGUUUUUACCAGGUCGACUAGACAGAAGAGCCUUCCUAGAAAACCUUCUAAACUUAGAAAAACGGCAUCCGUACCGUAAUCCGACACUGGUGGAUAGGGCGAGAAGCCCAAGGGGUACGAGUGAUUUAUCUUUAAGGAACUCGGCAAAAAAGCGGCCGUACCUUUGGUAUAAGGCCUUCCCGCAGCAAUGCGGGACGCAGUGAAAGUCUCUCUGGCGACUGUUUAACAAAAACACAGCUCCAUGCGAACUCGUAAGAGGAUGUAUAUGGGGUGACACCUGACCGAUGCGAGAAGGUCAAGCUUGGAGGUGGUAUGACGCAAGUUGUACUGCUUACUGAGUUAAGCCCUCGUCAAUGUCAGCGGUAACUAUAACCGUUCUAAGGUAGCGCAAUUCCUUUUCGGGUAAGUUCCGAAGCGCACGAAU